UGAGCAAUCUGCCCUUCUCAUCGGAAUAAGCGUUGGAAACGACGUCUAAUGCCGAAUACGACCUCCUUUCGCAUGAUCGGAGGUGGAAAGCUCCGGCGGAGAAGGAUGAGCUCGCGGCCUAUCAGCUAGUUGGUGUGGGUAAUGGCCCACCAAGGCGACGACGGGUAGCCGGCCUGAGAGGGUGACCGGCCACACUGGGACUGAGACACGGCCAGACUCCUACGGGAGCAG
rnacentral:rRNA from 1 species